rnacentral:rRNA from 1 species
CCUCGAUGUCGGCUCAUCACAUCCUGGGGCUGAAGUAGGUCCCAAGGGUAUGGCUGUUCGCCAUUUAAAGUGGUACGCGAGCUGGGUUUAGAACGUCGUGAGACAGUUCGGUCCCUAUCUGCCGUGGGCGCUGGAGAAUUGAGGGGGGCUGCUCCUAGUACGAGAGGACCGGAGUGGACGCAUCACUGGUGUUCGGGUUGUCAUGCCAAUGGCACUGCCCGGUAGCUAAAUGCGGAAGAGAUAAGUGCUGAAAGCAUCUAAGCACGAAACUUGCCCCGAGAUGAGUUCUCCCUGAGACUUUAAGUCUCCUGAAGGAACGUUGAAGACGACGACGUUGAUAGGCCGGGUGUGUAAGCGCAGCGAUGCGUUGAGCUAACCGGUACUAAUGAACCGUGAGGCUUAACCUUACAACGCCGAAG